CUAGGACGAGCAGCAAAAAAUGAAUACCUUUGACUGAUGUCUUGCUGACUGAUAUUCGUGAAACAAACUCUUUUCAGCAAAUGUUCGUAGAUGGAUUUGGCUUUUUAAACCCAAAUGAGAGAAAUGAUGCCUGUGACCAAGAAAGCCCCCUCCUUGGAGCUGGGAGUCCAGUCUGUUCUCGUGGAGCCAUGGAAAUAGGGACAGAUUAAUAAAACAUCAGGGCUUCUUC